AGAUACUCCUACCAGAAGAGGAAAGCCAGCACGGCAGCAGCUCGGAGGAUGGAGAGGCGAGGCAGGGACUCUGGGAAGACCAACAACACCAACACUAGCCACAGCCACCGCUCCAAGAAGCUAGCCAUGCUCUCCAGGUAUGGAAUCUGUUUGUAGCACACAGCUCGUCAGGCUGGUUGAUUUGGUUAAAGCCAACGUAUAGCAGAAUUACAGGACAGCCUCGCUGGGUGCCUAAUGCCUUUUUGGUUGGAAUACUAGGUACAGUAGCAACGGUUUACCUUUUCCUUUCCCCUUUACUUCUUCUUCUUCUUCUUCUUCUUCUUCCCUCCAGGUCCCUGAUCCUCUGUCACUCCAGAGCCAGUGAUGACUGCCCCAGCCCCGAAGAGAGACCGCCAGGGGAGGCCUGGAAGGGAGACAGGGGCUUGGGGAGAGAUGGGAAGGGGAACAGGGAGGUGGAGAGGUCCCAGAAGAAGAUCCAGGAAGGACCCCAGGAGAGUGGAGGAACUAUGCAGGCAUCUACACAGCCACCCGUAGGGGCCACCAACACACUCAGGGCUACAGGAGAACACAAGAGGAAUAUGAGGAGGUCCUUCAGUAUCAAGGAAAGCUCAACAUGUGAGCAGCAGCCCCUGUCCCCUGGAGGUCUAACCCUGGCCCCCCUGCACUCGGUCCCCCUGUGCCUGACAGACCCCCUGGCAGUGACCAACUACACAGAGACAGAACAAACUGGGAACAACAACCACCUCAAGCUGGCAAUCCCAGAGGUGAAUGAGGACAGAGGUUGGGACACAGAGAGGAGAGGACAUGGUCUUCAGGGACAGACGGUCUGCAAGAGGACCCGCUCCAACUCUACCAGUGUCCAUCCAUACUGGAUUGGAGACCUGGACACCAUUAUCCUGAAGACGCCUGAGCUAUGCGGGAGCAACACCCACGGAACCGUCGGUUUCUUUGGCAGCAGGAAGUCCCAGUCCCAGCAGCUGGAGUUUCCUCACAACCCCAACCAGGUGUGUGUGUGCGCCUGUCUGCCUACCUGCCUUGAGAGUUUAUGUACCUGCAAAUGCUCUGAUUACAAUGAAUCCAGAUUGGU
rnacentral:lncRNA from 1 species